CUACGGGGGGCUGCAGUGGGGAAUAUUGCACAAUGGGGGAAACCCUGAUGCAGCAACGCCGCGUGGAGGAUGACACAUUUCGGUGCGUAAACUCCUUUUAUAGGUCAAGAUAAUGACGGUAGCCUAUGAAUAAGCGCCGGCUAACUCCGUGCCAGCAGCCGCGGUAAUACGGAGGGCGCAAGCGUUACUCGGAAUCACUGGGCGUAAAGAGCAUGUAGGCGGGUUAAUAAGUCAGAAGUGAAAUCCAAUAGCUCAACUAUUGAAAUGCUUUUGAAACUGUUAACCUAGAGUGUGGGAGAGGUAGGUGGAAUUUCUUGUGUAGUGGUAAAAUCCGUAGAGAUCAGAAGGAAUACCGAUUGCGAAGGCGAUCUACUGGAACAUUACUGACGCUGAGAUGCGAAAGCGUGGGGAGCAAACAGGAUUAGAUACCCCUGUAGUC
rnacentral:rRNA from 1 species